ACCAGGCAUACCUCCUCAUUAAAGGUGAUGACAUAUCCAUAUCAGGAAAACCAUCUGUUACUUAUAUAAGCUUGGGAUACAGGGGGAAUAUUUUUGCUGUGAUGGUACGCAAUGGUUGAAAAAGUAUUGCAUUGCAAUACACCUGCAAUACUUUUGGGAAUGAGAGACAAAAAUGGACAAUAAAGCGUAGGCGCACGUUUCAAUAUUACGCUUUCUAUUGCGUGACACCUUCCAAAGUUCUGCAAUCGUUGCCCAAAAUCCAAUGGUUUGGCAUGGAAUUUCGGCAACGAUUGCGAGAAGCUUCGCGUUGCCAUUGCAGGGUAGGAUACACAAGCAAUUUACCUCUCGCAACGAUUACGCCAGAAAAAUGAUGCCCGUGUAUCCGUAGCUUAAAUGCCAUUGAUGCUCUAAGGUCGCGUCAAGAGGUCGAAAACUAAAAGUGAUCAACAACAAAGAGAUGUCCUCGCGCUUUAUAGACUUUAUAGGAAGCUAUGGGCACAUAUUUUCAGAACCAAUAUGUCGCGGAUGCUGUGAACUAUAAAACGCCUAAAAAUUGAGCAGAUUAUAAAAGAGGAUGCAUAUUGCAUGUAGAAAAAGAUGAAGCUAGAAAAAGCCAUUAAGGUAUACGUAUUAAGAAGGCAUUUGAAUACUUCUCCUUGUCAACGGAAACGACGUGUUAACUGGAGCUGGAAGGGAAUAUUUUACCAAACAAUUCUCACUAUUACAGUCUCGACUAUUUAUUAUCCAUCAUUGAUGAACAACAUUUAUUUAGUUACUGGGAAUUAAGUCC
rnacentral:lncRNA from 1 species